UUCUCUGGGGACACAGGCAGCACCCUGGACCUCUGAGCCUGCUCUUCCUCCAUGCUGCUUCCUUCUGCAGGAACUGCAUGGUGUUACAUAGAAGAACCAUGUGGACUUCCGUGCAGAUCUGCAGACUUCCACUCCCUGCUUGGUGACCGGAUUCAACAGUGCCAUCAACAUUGGGAGACCGCCACAAGCAUCAGCUGCUUGGAGGUUCAUUGCUGAAGGAGUGAAAACCAAAGCUUGGUGCAAGCCAGAGUCGAACCAUGUUCCAUCUGUGCAUUGGUGGCUCCAGGAACCUGAAGUUACACUAUAUGGUCAGCUGUGGCAACUUCAAAACCUAUCCCCAUGCUGAGUGGUAAAGGUGUUACCCUGCUCAUCCCCAUCCAUCAUCGUUUGUGGUCCUGGCCCUGAAGUAGACACCUCUGCACAUGCUCAAGCAAGAUGAAUGGCAGCCACUCUUCCGCUCUCUGCAGGCACAGCCUGGAGCCCACAUGGACUGGCCUUUUCCAGUUUCCCUCUGCCAAGAGGGCAAACCCACCCUUGGCUGUCCAGCUGUGGCUGUCUAGCCAGGGCCUUUAUUUAGCAAUACCAAAAGUGAGAUAAUCACUCUAUUGUUUUGCCUCCUAUUGAAUCCUUAUGGA